UUCCGGUUGAUCCUGCCGGAGGUCACUGCUAUUGGGAUUCGACUAAGCCAUGCGAGUCGCGAGGGUUCGGCCCUCGGCUGACGGCUCAGUAACACGCGGAUAAUCUGCCCUUAGGUGGAGGAUAACCUCGGGAAACUGAGAAUAAGACUCCAUAGAUCUAGGAGGCUGGAAUGCACUUAGAUCAAAAACUUCGGUGCCUAAGGAUGAGUCUGCGGACUAUCAGGUAGUAGUCAGGGUAAUGACCUGACCAGCCUAUGACGGAUACGGGUUGUGAGAGCAAUAACCCGGAGAUGAUAUCUGAGACACGAUAUCAGGCCCUACGGGGCGCAGCAGGCGCGAAAACUUCACACUGUGCGAAAGCACGAUGAGGGAAUCCCAAGUGCUGGCUCGUAAGAGUCAGCUGUUUUUCUGUCUAGAAAACAGAGAGAGUAAGAGCUGGGUAAGACGGGUGCCAGCCGCCGCGGUAAUACCUGCAGCUCAAGUGGUGGCCGCUAUUAUUGGGCCUAAAACGUUCGUAGCCGGUCUAGUAAAUGCCUGGGUAAAUCAUACGGCUUAACCGUACGAAUUCCGGGUAGACUGCUGGACUUGGGACUGGGAGAGGCUAGAGGUACUCCUGGGGUAGAGGUGAAAUUCUGUAAUCUCUAGGGGGACGACCAGUGGCGAAGGCGUCUAGCUAGAACAGGUCUGACGGUGAGGAACGAAGCCCUGGGGCGCAAACGGGAUUAGAUACCCCGGUAGUCCAGGGUGUAAACGCUGCUUGCUUGAUGUUAGUCGGGCUCCGAGCCCGAUUAGUGUCGGAGAGAAGUUGUUAAGCAAGCUGCCUGGGGAGUACGGCGCAAGACUGAAACUUAAAGGAAUUGGCGGGGGAGCACGCAACGGGUGGAGCGUGCGGUUUAAUUGGAUUCA
rnacentral:rRNA from 1 species